rnacentral:rRNA from 1 species
GACGAACGCUGGCGGCGUGCUUAACACAUGCAAGUCGAACGGAAAGGCCCUGCUUUUGUGGGGUGCUCGAGUGGCGAGCGGGUGAGUAACACGUGAGUAACCUUCCCUUGACUUUGGGAUAACUGCAGGAAACUGGGGCUAAUACCGGAGAGGAGCUCCUGCUGCAUGGGGGGGUUUGGAAAGUUUCGUCGGUGGGGGAUGGACUCGCGGCUUAUCAGCUUGUUGGUUGGGUAGUGGCUUACCAAGGCUUUGACAGGUAGCCGGCCUGAGAGGGUGACCGGCGACAUGGGUACUGAGAUACGGCCCAGACUCGUAUGGGAGGCAGAAGUGGGGAAUAUUGCACAGUGGGCGGAAGCCUGAGGCAGCAACGUCGCGUGCGGGAUGACGGCCUUCGGGGUGUAAACCGCUUUCGCCUGUGACGAAGCGUGAGUGACGGUACUGGGUAAAGAAGCACCGGCUAACUACGUG